rnacentral:rRNA from 1 species
GAUGAACGCUAGCGGCAGGCUUAAUACAUGCAAGUCGAGGGGCAGCAGCUUUAUAGCAAUAUAGAGGCUGGCGACCGGCAAACGGGUGCGGAACACGUACACAACCUUCCUUUAAGAGGGGGAUAGCCCAUAGAAAUGUGGAUUAAUACCCCGUAACAUAUCGGUGUGGCAUCACACUGUUAUUAUAGUUUCGACGCUUGAAGAUGGGUGUGCGGCUGAUUAGGUAGUUGGCGGGGUAAAGGCCCACCAAGCCUUCGAUCAGUAGCUGAUGUGAGAGCAUGAUCAGCCACACGGGGACUGAGACACUGGCCCGACUCCUACGGGAGGCAGCAGUAAGGAAUAUUGGUCAAUGGACGCAAGUCUGAACCAGCCAUGCCGCGUGAAGGAUGAAGGUCCUCUGGAUUGUAAACUUCUUUUAUAGGGGGCGAAAAAAGGGAAUUCUUUCUCACUUGACAGUACCCUAUGAAUAAGCACCGGCUAACUCCGUGCCAGCCGCCGCCGUAA